rnacentral:rRNA from 1 species
GACGAACGCUGGCGGCGUGCCUAACACAUGCAAGUAGAGCGAUGAAGCCCUUCGGGGUGGAUUAGCGGCGGACGGGUGAGUAACACGUGGGUAACCUGCCUCAAAGAGGGGGAUAGCCUCCCGAAAGGGAGAUUAAUACCGCAUAACAUUAGUUUUUUGCAUGAAAAACUAAUUAAAGGAGUAAUCCGCUUUGAGAUGGACCCGCGGCGCAUUAGCUAGUUGGUGAGGUAACGGCUCACCAAGGCGACGAUGCGUAGCCGACCUGAGAGGGUGAUCGGCCACAUUGAAACUGAGACACGGUCCAGACUCCUACGGGAGGCAGCAGUGGGGAAUAUUGCACAAUGGGCGAAAGCCUGAUGCAGCAACGCCGCGUGAGUGAUGAAGGCCUUCGGGUUGUAAAGCUCUGUCUUUGGGGGCGAUAAUGACGGUACCCAAGGAGGAAGCCACGGCUAACUACGUGCCAGCCGCCGCGGUAACAC